GAUUUCUGGUUUGGCGCAUUUGGCCCGCCACGCUACGUGGUUGUGUGCCGGUAUGCGCCUACCAUCCUUCCAGCACCUCACUAUUACUACCCUUUACUGGGCCUGUAGUAGCGAACUGGAUCAUUUACUUUGAAAAAAUUAGAGUGUUUAAAGCAGGCUUAUGCUAUGAAUACAUUAGCAUGGAAUAAUAAUUUAGGACUUUGGUUCUAUUUUGUUGGUUUCUAGGACUGAAGUAAUGAUUGAUAGGGAUAGUUGGGGGUGCUAGUAUUCCGCGGCCAGAGGUGAAAUUCUUGGAUUCGUGGAAGACUAACUACUGCGAAAGCAUU
rnacentral:rRNA from 1 species